rnacentral:rRNA from 1 species
UACCAGACUCCUACGGGAGGCAGCAGUAGGGAAUAUUGCUCAAUGGGGGAAACCCUGAUGCAGCGACGCCGCGUGAGUGAAGAAGUAUUUCGGUAUGUAAAGCUCUAUCAGCAGGGAAGAAAAAAGACGGUACCUGACUAAGAAGCCCCGGCUAACUACGUGCCAGCAGCCGCGGUAAUACGUAGGGGGCAAGCGUUAUCCGGAUUUACUGGGUGUAAAGGGAGCGUAGACGGCAAUACAAGUCGGAAGUGAAAUACCCGGGCUCAACCUGGGAACUGCUUUGGAAACUGUAUGGCUGGAGUGCUGGAGAGGUAAGCGGAAUUCCAGGUGUAGGAGUGAAAUCCGUAGAUAUCUGGAGGAACAUCAGUGGCGAAGGCGACUAUCUGGCACAUAACUGACGCUGAGGAGCGAAAGCGUGGGUAGCAAACAGGAUUAGAUACCCCAGUA